GGCUCAGACGAACGCUGGCGGCGUGCCUAAUACAUGCAAGUAGAACGCACAGGAUGCACCGUAGUUUACUACACCGUAUUCUGUGAGUUGCGCACGGGUGAGUAACGCGUAGGUAACCUGCCUGGUAGCGGGGGAUAACUAUUGGAAACGAUAGCUAAUACCGCAUAAGAACAUUUACUGCAUGGUAGAUGUUUAAAAGGUGCAAAUGCAUCACUACCAGAUGGACCUGCGUUGUAUUAGCUAGUAGGUGAGGUAACGGCUCACCUAGGCGACGAUACAUAGCCGACCUGAGAGGGUGAUCGGCCACACUAGGACUGAGACACGGCCCAGACUCCUACGGGAGGCAGCAGUAGGGAAUCUUCGGCAAUGGGGGGAACCCUGACCGAGCAACGCCGCGUGAGUGAAGAAGGUUUUCGGAUCGUAAAGCUCUGUUGUUAAGGAAGAACGAGUGUGAGAAUGGAAAGUUCAUACUGUGACGGUACUUAACCAGAAAGGGACGGCUAACUACGUGCCAGCAGCCGCGGUAAUACGUAGGUCCCGAGCGUUGUCCGGAUUUAUUGGGCGUAAAGCGAGCGCAGGCGGUUAGAUAAGUCUGAAGUUAAAGGCAGUGGCUCAACCAUUGUAGGCUUUGGAAACUGUUUAACUUGAGUGCAGAAGGGGAGAGUGGAAUUCCAUGUGUAGCGGUGACAUGCGUAGAUAUAUGGAGGAACACCGGUGGCGAAAGCGGCUCUCUGGUCUGUAACUGACGCUGAGGCUCGAAAGCGUGGGGAGCGAACAGGAUUAGAUANCCUGGUAGUCCACGCCGUAAACGAUGAGUGCUAGGUGUUAGGUCCUUUCCGGGACUUAGUGCCGCG
rnacentral:rRNA from 1 species